rnacentral:rRNA from 1 species
CACGUAGGGCGCGAGCGUUGUCCGGAAUUAUUGGGCGUAAAGAGCUCGUAGGCGGCCUGUUGCGUCCGCUGUGAAAGCCCGGGGCUUAACCCCGGGUCGGCAGUGGAUACGGGCAGGCUAGAGGUAGGUAGGGGAGAAUGGAAUUCCCGGUGUAGCGGUGAAAUGCGCAGAUAUCGGGAGGAACACCGGUGGCGAAGGCGGUUCUCUGGCCUGCAACUGACGCUGAGGCGCGAAAGCUGGGGGAGCAAACAGG